CAGUGCAAAAGGUUACGACAGCCAGGAACACAGUUUUAAUCACCCUUUGUUUCAAACGUGGAUGCUAUGUGCAGCACAAAGUUUUUGUCUGAUUGGAGUACCGAUCUUAAGAAGACGAGCAAAAGAACAAACAAUACAGGUAGUGAAUAAAAAGCAGAACGACACGCUUCUUAAAAUACAAGAAGGACCAUCGACCAAUGCAAGGUAUUUUGUAAUUUUAUUUUGUUCUUAAAAGGGA